rnacentral:rRNA from 1 species
GACGAACGCCGGCGGCGUGCUUAACACAUGCAAGUCGAACGAUGAAGCUGGAGCUUGCUCCGGUGGAUUAGUGGCGAACGGGUGAGUAACACGUGAGAAAUCUGCCCUUCACUCUGGGAUAACUGCGGGAAACUGUAGCUAAUACCGGAUACUUUCCCUGGUGGGCAUCCACUAGGGAAGAAAGAAUUUCGGUGAAGGAUGAUCUCGCGGCCUAUCAGCUAGUUGGUGAGGUAAUGGCUCACCAAGGCGACGACGGGUAGCCGGCCUGAGAGGGUGACCGGCCACACUGGGACUGAGACACGGCCCAGACUCCUACGGGAGGCAGCAGUAGGGAAUAUUGCACAAUGGGCGAAAGCCUGAUGCAGCAACGCCGCGUGAGGGAUGAAGGCCUUCGGGUUGUAAACCUCUUUUAGCAGGGAAGAAGCGAAAGUGACGGUACCUGCAGAAAAAGCACCAGCUAACUACGUGCCAGCCGCCGCAGUAA